CAGCAGCCGCGGUAAUACGUAGGGUGCGAGCGUUAAUCGGAAUUACUGGGCGUAAAGCGUGCGCAGGCGGUUGUGUAAGACAGGUGUGAAAUCCCCGGGCUUAACCUGGGAACUGCGCUUGUGACUGCACAGCUAGAGUGUGGCAGAGGGGGGUGGAAUUCCACGUGUAGCAGUGAAAUGCGUAGAGAUGUGGAGGAACACCGAUGGCGAAGGCAGCCCCCUGGGCCAAUACUGACGCUCAUGCACGAAAGCGUGGGGAGCAAUCAGGAUUAGAUACCCGUGUAGUCCCUGUCUCUUAUAC
rnacentral:rRNA from 1 species